GUGUGCCCCCUCUCCUCCCCCUUUGUAAGUCACGUGACACAACGCAGUUUAAACGUCAGCUGAUGGAAAAAUACUGGAUUUUGUGUGAGCAAACUAAUGUAGUGUCUGCACUGAACAAAGAAUGAGGAAAAAGAAUACAUUGUCCUGAAAUCAAGAAGUCCCAUGCAACUGUAAACUUUGGAAGCUGAGAUAAGUGUGAUGAGGAUUAAAUAAAUUGUAGGUGUUCAUGUUUACCUGACUGCGAGUAAAGUCAGUGCCACAACUUAAGUUUCUUGCUUUCCUUUCUUGCUUCAACCUGCUUUCCAGGAACCACAGGCAAAAUGAUCUGAACCCCAAGAAGCAUGAUGUUCCAGUUUUUUUUUUUUUUUUCAAAAACAAGAUCAAUGUUGAAUACUGUACUGUAGGUUUUUAUGAUAAAACAAUUAGUAUUUAAUGAACAGAGAGUGGGUGCAUUUUCAUAUCUUUUAGAUAAUACUUCACAAAUUGUUUCCUGACCUGUAUGACCUGAAUCAUAUGUUUUUGUUUUGUUAAAUGUUUUUGCACAGGUCAUAAUUUGAGAGUCAUAUGUGUGAGUUGAAACCCCACAAUUAAACAUUGUAACUGCUUUAAAACGGCAAUCAGCAAACGUGCUCUUAUUUUUAGGCUAUGACUUCACUUUGUGUAACAGAAAACUUGACAAUCUUCCUUUCUUUGUUUUCUCAGCUGUUUUGAAUUAUUUUGAGAAAUACAAUAAACCAUUGAAACUUA